rnacentral:rRNA from 1 species
CCUACGGGAGGCAGCAGUGGGGAAUAUUGGACAAUGGGGGAAACCCUGAUCCAGCGACGCCGCGUGAGUGAAGAAGUAUUUCGGUACGUAAAGCUCUAUCAGCAGGAAAGAAAAUGACGGUACCUGACUAAGAAGCCCCGGCUAACUACGUGCCAGCAGCCGCGGUAAUACGUAGGGGGCAAGCGUUAGCCGGAUUUACUGGGUGGAAAGGGAGCGUAGACGGCAGCGCAAGUCUGGAGUGAAAUGCCGGGGCCCAACCCCGGAACUGCUCUGGAAACUGUGAAGCUGGAGUGCAGGAGAGGUAAGCGGAAUUCCUGGUGUAGCGGUGAAAUGCGUAGAUAUCAGGAGGAACACCGGCGGCGAAGGCGGCUUACUGGACUGUAACUGACGUUGAGGCUCGAAGGCGUGGGGAGCAAACAGGAUUAGAUACCCUAGUAGUC